rnacentral:rRNA from 1 species
UAUGUGAUCGUCUCUCGCAUAUCAAUAAGCGGAGGAAAAGAAACUAACAAGGAUUCCCCUAGUAACGGCGAGUGAAGCGGGAAGAGCUCAAAUUUGAAAUCUUAAAGGGUUUCCCUUUACGAAUUGUAGUUUAAAGAAGUGUUUUCUGUUGAGGUUUUGGUAAAAGUUCUUUGGAAUAGGACAUCAUAGAGGGUGAGAAUCCCGUAUUUGACCUUUACUUUCAACUUUGUGAUACACUUUCAAAGAGUCGGAUAGUUUGGGAAUGCAGUCCAAAAUGGGUGGUAAAUUUCAUCUAAAGCUAAAUAUUGGCGAGAGACCGAUAGCGAACAAGUACCGUGAGGGAAAGAUGAAAAGAACUUUGAAAAGAGAGUUAAACAGUACGUGAAAUUGUCAAAAGGGAAGCGUUUGACACCAGUGUUGUUUUUCUGAAAAUCAAUUAAAGAACUGUUUAUGCUAAGCUGUUUAGACUUUAUCAGCUAUCUGUUUAGUUUUGAGCUUUUCUUUAAUGCACUUUUCAGUUAACAAGUCAACAUCAAUUUCUUUUGCUGUAAAAAAGCUUGAGGAAGGUGGCUUGAGAUUCGUCUUAAGUGUUUAUAGCCUCUUGCCUAUGCAGUCGGAGAGAUUGAGGUCUGCAGCGUAGAUCCUUCGGGGCUAAAUGCAUUUGUGCUAAGUUAUAGCAUUUUAUAGACAACUUGUUGACUAUGAUUUGUCUUGUAGCUUACUCGCUUAUGUUAUUUUACCUACGCUUAGGAUGUUGAGCGCAUGUCUCUCUCUC